CGGGAAAGAUUUAUUGCCGAAGGAACGGCCCGCGUCCGAUUAGCUUGUUGUGAGGUAAUGGCUCACCAAGGCGACGAUCGGUAGCUGGUCUGAGAGGAUGCCAGCCUCACUGGGACUGAGACACGGCCCAGACUCCUACGGGAGGCAGCGUGGGGAAUAUUGGACAAUGGGCGCAAGCCUGAUCCAGCCAUGCCGCGUGAUGAUGAAGGCCCUAGGGUUGUAAAGUCCUUUUAACGGGGAAGAUAAUACGGUACCCGUAGAAUAAGCCCCGGCUAACUUCGUGCCAGCAGCCGCGGAAUACGAAGGGGGCUAGCGUUGCUCGGAAUUACUGGGCGUAAAGCGCACGAUGCGGCUUUCUAAGUCGGGGGUGAAAUCCUGGAGCUCAACUCCAGAACGCCUUCGAUACUGGAGAGCUCGAAUUUCGGGAGAGGUGAGUGGAACUCG
rnacentral:rRNA from 1 species